AGAGUUUGAUCCUGGCUCAGGAUGAACGCUGGCGGCGUGCUUAACACAUGCAAGUCGAGCGGAAAGGCCCUUUCGGGGGUACUCGAGCGGCGAACGGGUGAGUAACACGUGAGUAAUCUGCCUUGCACUCUGGGAUAGCCUUGGGAAACUGAGAUUAAUACCGGAUAUGACAUGUGCCUGCAUGGGUGUGUGUGGAAAGUUUUUUCGGUGCAAGAUGUGCUCGCGGCCUAUCAGCUUGUUGGUGAGGUAAUGGCUCACCAAGGCUUCGACGGGUAGCCGGCCUGAGAGGGUGACCGGCCACACUGGGACUGAGACACGGCCCAGACUCCUACGGGAGGCAGCAGUGGGGAAUAUUGGACAAUGGGCGGAAGCCUGAUCCAGCAACGCCGCGUGAGGGAUGACGGCCUUCGGGUUGUAAACCUCUUUCAGCACAGACGAAGCUGACCCUUUUUGGGGUGGGUGACGGUAUGUGCAGAAGAAGGACCGGCCAACUACGUGCCAGCAGCCGCGGUAAUACGUAGGGUCCGAGCGUUAUCCGGAAUUAUUGGGCGUAAAGGGCUCGUAGGCGGUUUGUUGCGUCGGGAGUGAAAACCCAGGGCUUAACUCUGGGCUUGCUUCCGAUACGGGCAGACUUGAGGUAUUCAGGGGAGAACGGAAUUCCUGGUGUAGCGGUGAAAUGCGCAGAUAUCAGGAGGAACACCGGUGGCGAAGGCGGUUCUCUGGGAAUUACCUGACGCUGAGGAGCGAAAGUGUGGGGAGCGAACAGGAUUAGAUACCCUAGUAGUCC
rnacentral:rRNA from 1 species